rnacentral:rRNA from 1 species
AUUGAACGCUGGCGGCAGGCCUAACACAUGCAAGUCGAGCGGAUGAAGGGAGCUUGCUCCUGGAUUCAGCGGCGGACGGGUGAGUAAUGCCUAGGAAUCUGCCUGGUAGUGGGGGAUUACGUCCGGAAACGGGCGCUAAUAUCCCAUCCGUCCUUAGAGAGAAAGUGGUGGAUCUUGGGUCCUCUCGCUAUCAGAUGAGCCUAGGUCGGAUUAGCUAGUUGGUGGGGUAAAGGCCUACCAAGGCGACGAUCCGUAACUGGUCUGAGAGGAUGAUCAGUCACACUGGAACUGAGACACGGUCCAGACUCCUACGGGAGGCAGCAGUGGGGAAUAUUGGACAAAGGGCGAAAGCCUGAUCCAGCCAUGCCGCGUGAGUGAAGAAGGUAUUCGGAUUGUAAAGCUCUUUAAGUUGGGAGGAAGGGAAGUAAGUUAAUACCUUGAUGUUUUGACGUUACCCACAGAAUAAGCACCGGCUAACUUCGUG